rnacentral:lncRNA from 1 species
AGAUCCCUAGGAAGAUCAAAUUCCUAACUUAUAUUUGCAUGGUGAGUUCAACAAGUAUUUGUUAUUAGAGAAUAAGUAACACAUUUAGUGGUGUAGGGAAGCAAACGAAUGUAACACCAAUUGAAAGUCCUUCAACAAGUAGAGAUGCACACAUGUUUCAAUCAUUUGAGAUACCCUUUUGUAGAAGUAUUUGGAAGAUAACUAUUAAUAAUUUCAUUUGUAAAGAUACGAUUUGUAAAAAAGUAUAUACAAAGUGGUUUUGCUGGUAUUAAAUAAAUAAAUAAAAAUAC